CCUACGGGAGGCAGCAGUGAGGAAUAUUGGUCAAUGGACGAGAGUCUGAACCAGCCAAGUAGCGUGAAGGAUGACUGCCCUAUGGGUUGUAAACUUCUUUUAUAUGGGAAUAAAAUGUUCCACGUGUGGGAUUUUGUAUGUACCAUAUGAAUAAGGAUCGGCUAACUCCGUGCCAUCAGCCGAGGUAAUACGGAGGAUCCGAGCGUUAUCCGGAUUUAUUGGGUUUAAAGGGAGCGUAGGUGGAUUGUUAAGUCAGUUGUGAAAGUUUGCGGCUCAACCGUAAAAUUGCAGUUGAAACUGGCAGGCUUGAGUACAGUAGAGGUGGGCGGAAUUCGGGGUGUAGCGGUGAAAUGCUUAGAUAUAACGAAGAACUCCGAUUGCGAAGGCAGCUCACUGGACUGCAACUGACACUGAGGCUCGAAAGUGUGGGUAUCAAACAGGAUUAGAUACCCCAGUAGUC
rnacentral:rRNA from 1 species